rnacentral:tRNA from 1 species
GAAAUAUUUUAUACAUUUGAAUUUCUAACUCAAAUUUUAGUGAUUUUAUUAUCAUUAUAUUUCU